rnacentral:rRNA from 1 species
AUUGAACGCUGGCGGCAUGCCUAACACAUGCAAGUGGAGCGACGAACCCGGACUUGUCCGGCGGCAAAGCCGCGAACGGGUGAGUAACGCGUGGAUUUUCUGCCCCAAUGACCGGGACAAGCCGAGGAAACUCGAGCUAAUACCGGAUGUUCCCUUCGGAGGAAAGGAAGCUUCGCCCUCCGCAUUGGUCAUAGUCCGGGGUGCAUUAGCUAGUUGCUGGGGUAAAAGCACACCAAGGCGACGAUGCAUAACUGGUCUGAGAGGACGAUCAGCCACACUGGAACUGAGACACGGUCCAGACUCCUACGGGAGGCAGCAGUGGGGAAUCUUGCGCAAUGCACGAAAGUGUGACGCAGCAACGCCGCGUGCGGGAAGAAGGUCUUCGGAUCGUAAACCGCUUUCAGUUGGGACGAGGGUUACACGGUGAAUAGCCGGCGUAACUGACGGUACCUUCAGAAGAAGCCCCGGCUAACUACGUGCCAGCAGCCGCAGUAA